rnacentral:rRNA from 1 species
UCCUGGCUCAGGAUGAACGCUGGCGGCAUGCCUAAUACAUGCAAAGUCGAACGGAACACUUCGGUGUUCAGUGGCGAACGGGUGAGUAACACGUAGAUAACCUGCCCAUAUCCGGGGGAUACGCUUUGGAAACGAAGUCUAAAACCCCAUAGGAAAACAGAAGGCAUCUUCUGUUUUUGAAACAGGCCUUUAAGCCUGGGAGAUGAAUGGAUCUGCGGUGCAUUAGCUUGUUGGCAAGGUAAAAGCUUACCAAGGCGAUGAUGCAUAGCCGGCCUGAGAGGGCGAUCGGCCACACUGGGACUGAGACACGGCCCAGACUCCUGCGGGAGGCAGCAGUAGGGAAUUUUCGUCAAUGGGCGCAAGCCUGAACGAGCAAUGCCGCGUGAGUGAGGAAGGUCUUCGGAUCGUAAAGCUCUGUUGCAGGUCAGAAAAGAAGAAAAGAGGGAAAAUGCUUUUCUUUUGAUAGUAACCUGCCAGAAAGUCACGGGCUAACUACGUGCC